rnacentral:rRNA from 1 species
GACGAACGCUGGCGGCGUGCUUAACACAUGCAAGUCGAACGAUGAUGCCCAGCUUGCUGGGUGGAUUAGUGGCGAACGGGUGAGUAACACGUGAGUAACCUGCCCCUGACUCUGGGAUAAGCGUUGGAAACGACGUCUAAUACUGGAUAUGACCGCCGAUCGCAUGGUCUGGUGGUGGAAAGAUUUUUUGGUUGGGGAUGGACUCGCGGCCUAUCAGCUUGUUGGUGAGGUAAUGGCUCACCAAGGCGACGACGGGUAGCCGGCCUGAGAGGGUGACCGGCCACACUGGGACUGAGACACGGCCCAGACUCCUACGGGAGGCAGCAGUGGGGAAUAUUGCACAAUGGGCGAAAGCCUGAUGCAGCAACGCCGCGUGAGGGAUGACGGCCUUCGGGUUGUAAACCUCUUUUAGUAGGGAAGAAGCGUAAGUGACGGUACCUGCAGAAAAAGCACCGGCUAACUACGUGCCAGCAGCCGCGGUAAUACGUAGGGUGCAAGCGUUGUCCGGAAUUAUUGGGCGUAAAGAGCUCGUAGGCGGUUUGUCGCGUCUGCUGUGAAAUCCCGAGGCUCAACCUCGGGCUUGCAGUGGGUACGGGCAGACUAGAGUGCGGUAGGGGAGAUUGGAAUUCCUGGUGUAGCGGUGGAAUGCGCAGAUAUCAGAGGAACACCGAUGGCGAAGGCAGAUCUCUGGGCCGUAACUGACGCUGAGGAGCGAAAGCGUGGGGAGCGAACAGGAUUAGAUACCCUGGUAGUCCACGCCGUAAACGUUGGGCGCUAGAUGUAGGGACCUUUCCACGGUUUCUGUGUCGUAGCUAACGCAUUAAGCGCCCCGCCUGGGGAGUACGGCCGCAAGGCUAAAACUCAAAGGAAUUGACGGGGGCCCGCACAAGCGGCGGAGCAUGCGGAUUAAUUCGAUGCAACGCGAAGAACCUUACCAAGGCUUGACAUACACCGGAAACGGCCAGAGAUGGUUGCCCCCUUGUGGUCGGUGUACAGGUGGUGCAUGGUUGUCGUCAGCUCGUGUCGUGAGAUGUUGGGUUAAGUCCCGCAACGAGCGCAACCCUCGUUCUAUGUUGCCAGCGCGUUAUGGCGGGGACUCAUAGGAGACUGCCGGGGUCAACUCGGAGGAAGGUGGGGAUGACGUCAAAUCAUCAUGCCCCUUAUGUCUUGGGCUUCACGCAUGCUACAAUGGCCGGUACAAAGGGCUGCGAUACCGUAAGGUGGAGCGAAUCCCAAAAAGCCGGUCUCAGUUCGGAUUGAGGUCUGCAACUCGACCUCAUGAAGUCGGAGUCGCUAGUAAUCGCAGAUCAGCAACGCUGCGGUGAAUACGUUCCCGGGCCUUGUACACACCGCCCGUCAAGUCAUGAAAGUCGGUAACACCCGAAGCCGGUGGCCUAACCCUUGUGGAAGGAGCCGUCGAAGGUGGGAUCGGUGAUUAGGACUAAGUCGUAACAAGG